rnacentral:rRNA from 1 species
UACGGAGGGAGCUAGCGUUAUUCGGAAUUACUGGGCGUAAAGCGCACGUAGGCGGCUUUGUAAGUUAGAGGUGAAAGCCUGGAGCUCAACUCCAGAAUUGCCUUUAAGACUGCAUCGCUUGAAUCCAGGAGAGGUGAGUGGAAUUCCGAGUGUAGAGGUGAAAUUCGUAGAUAUUCGGAAGAACACCAGUGGGGAAGGCGGCUCACUGGACUGGUAUUGACGCUGAGGUGCGAAAGCGUGGGGAGCAAACAGG